CUAUAAUCCCCAAAACAAACCCACAAUCAUAAAAGCUAAACCUGUUAAUGUCCUAUAACCAUACCCCCCAAAUAUAAUAGCUACUUUGAGCUUGUUUCCAUGCUAGUUGCAAUAAUUUAGCGAGAAGUCAUUAAUCGCUAAAAUGGUUGUCACUAUUUCUAGCGUUUGCCAGUAAUUUCCAUGCCACAAAUUGUUAUUGUGACAGGU